rnacentral:lncRNA from 9 species
GCUGAGGGCUGGGCAUGCUGUGUCCACGUGCAUCAGAGCUCAGCUUGUCACACUCGUUAAGAACAAGAAAGGUGCAUCUUGGAGCAUUGCCAUGUCUGCAGACCCUCUGUCCCUUUGCAGGAGCUAGGAACCAGCCACAUCAGAAGUGCCAAGUAAUUCGGAGCCAGGCAGUGCUGGGCACUUACAGGCACAGCAGGGAGAGGCAGGUGAGGCUGGGGGACAGCAGGUGGCACUUUAGAGAAGGGAGGAAACAAAGGGUCAGGAGAAAGCGGUGGGGGGCCCAGGGGCAGAAAUGCCUUUGUGGGGGGUGGGGGGGGGAGGCAGGAAACUUCCCGAAGGCCCCCCUCUGGCAAGAGCAAGAACAGAGGAUGCUACAGAGGGGUCAGGAGUCUGCAGUUCCUCGUGGCCACAGAGCUCUCCCCUCCCUCCUGAAGGGCAGAGUGGUUCAGCUUCUCUCUGUCAACUGGAAGUUGGCCCCACACUCUUCACGGAGCUCCUGGCCCAGCCGUGCUCAGUGGGCUCCAUCAGUGUGAGAAACGAAGUGUUGGCACGCCGAGAGGCUGGGCGGUCCUUCUGGCUUACACCAUCCGUCUGUGGAAGACUAUCUUUUUUCGAGUUCCCUGGUGGCCUCGUGGUGAAGGAUCAGGCAUUGUCACUAUGGUGGCUUGCAUCACCGCUAUGGUGGGGGUUCGAUCCCUCACCUGGGAACUUCCACAUGCCAUGGGCAUGGUCCCCCCCACCAAAAAAAAAUGCUGUCAUUCUCCAAGCAAGUAUCAGACUUACCAGCACCCAGCAGGCCCUGGAAAGCUAAUCCAUUCCAAGUGGUGUAAUGUGAGGUGUGGCCCACGCUGUGAUGUGGGCACCAAAUGACCUGACCUCUCCAGGCACCAACAGCAGGGGUCCCUUCACAAGCAGACCUUGCAGGUGUGUGUUCCUGACCGCAGCAUCUACCUUUCAGGAGGAGGAAGGGCGGUUCCUUCAAUAUGUCACGACAGCAUUUUGGGCUGGGUGUGGAACCAAAAUUGCCCCACCAGGGUGAAUUCCUACUCCAACCAGGCACUGGGGGUGGGAGUUACCCCCCCUCCUCUGGCAGCACUGCCCACGGGUGUCCACUCCCUGGAGCAGGAGCGGGCGCCUGGAACAUUCCAGGGCGGCAACCUCCUGGUAUCACCUCCUUCACCGCCACAGCUUCAGGCAGCUGAAACUGUACAGAAACCUGCGUUUCUCCUCCCCACACUCACCUGUCAUUGGAGAGCAGUGCCCCAGGCAAGAGAUUAAUGGGAUUUCACCAGUUAGGCGGGGCUGGUCUUAGUAAUGCCUGUCAGGGAGGUUUCCAGCUGGAGUGGGGAGAAAACACACCCACCUUCCUGGUGACUUCACCCUUGAGUAAAGAGAAAGGAAUGAGCUCCUCGGGGCAAAUCAACCAGGAUUCCGAGGGAAAAAAGUCUGCCAAGGAGCGCAGAGCCUUACCCAUGCUGUGGAGUCAUCAAUAGGGCUCACAUCUGGAAUUUUCCUCGACCACGAGAUCACUGUGUCCUGAAUUCCCCGAGGGGACAUUGUGGCCAGAGCAGGUGUCAGCUCUGCGGCACAGGUGUCCUAGAGCUGAAAUCACCAAAGGACCCCUCUCUCACUCUUCCUGCCAUCAUUCUACGGAUGAUAUUUAAUUUUUACCAACCAACAGGAUUGCAUUUUGUUGAAGACUCACCUCUGUUUCUGGGUCAUCGUCUGCAGCACAUGUGCAUGGCACAGAAUUCAAAAGAUGGAGCAGAUGUUGGCUUCCACCAUUGUCCCGAGGACGCUGCCCCUUACCGGGGACAGCAUUAUCAGCUCCGGGUGUAUCCUUACAGAUAAUUAGCCCUUCCAAGGGCUCAUAUCCAGUCUUUGAAUGCCAACCGCGACCAGGCUUCCCUGUGCCUGUGUGUGUGGAUAACACACAAAUGGACGUGGCAGUCAUUGAACAGUACCAUUCUGUUUAAUGGCUUUUUAGAAUUCCUUUCUAUAAACUGAUUACCAUUGUAAUCGACUUAAUUGUUUUCCUUUGAUGGAUACUUAGGUUGUUUCCUGUUUAUUGGUAUUGAGAAAAAUAGUGACGGUCGCAUGUGCAUGUAGGUAUUUAACUUCUCAUACGUGACAUUACAUGUGUUGAGUAAAUUUUCAGAAAUGGAAUUCCUGGACAAGAACCAUGUACAUGUUAAGUUUUACAAACCAAUGGUAUUUCCUUGUAAUUUCAAUUUGCAUUUCUCUCACGCCGAUGGUGGCUGAGUAUAUCUUUGUUGUCUUUCUCCUUUAUAGAUAGUUAAAUUCUUAUGCUUACAUGGCCCAAAUAUGCGUUUUUAUCUUUGAAGUCCAGUCAGUUUAUUAUUAUACUUAUAGGUGUGCUCUGUCCUAUGAAAACUUUUCCUGAGAGGGGUGUUGUCUUAACAACUAGAUUUGUCUCAUUUUAUUUCUGGAAAAUUUUCUUGAAUCAUGUCUUCCAUUGUUUUCCCCUUCCACCUGUAAGUUUGUUUCUACAAUUAUACCUAUUGCAUAUUCAGGAAACUCCUUUGUUUGUUUGCUUCCCCACUUUAAAAUUUUUCAUUAUCUUAAAUGUUCAUUUCUGUUUAAUUUUAGCUGCAUUUCUCAAGAUAUAGAGAAGUGUCUCUUUUUAAAUUUUGUCAGUAUCUAUUUCCCUUUUUGCUAUUUUUUUUUUUUUUUUUUUAGGGCCACACCUGUGGCACAUGGAAACUCCCAGGCUAGGGGUUGAAUGGGAACUGUAGCUACUGGCCUACGCCACAGCCACAGCAAUGCCAGAUCUGAACUACAUCUUUGACCUACACCACAGCUCACGGCAAUGCUGGAUCCUUAACCCAUUGAGUGAGGCCAAGGGUCAAACCCACAUCCUCAUGAAUAUUAGUUGGGUUCCUUACUGCUGAGCCACAGAGGGCACUCCCUUGCUGCACCCAUUUCUAAGAAUUGUAUUUUCUCUGUUUUAUCAGCAUGUGUCUGUUGGGCUCUUGGAUUUUUACUUUGAGUCCUUUGAUAUUUUCAAAGCCGUGUGUUUGUAAACUGUGAGGCACAUUCUGGUGAGCACUUGGAAAUGAUUACGCAGUGAAUGAAUUUCAGAGUUCACACCCAUGAAACAACAUAUUUCAUGCUAUAUUUUAAAAUGGAAUCUUUUAAUUCCAUUUUCAUUACAAUGUGGUUUGCAAAUCAAAUGCUCAUUUUCUUCAUCGUAUUUUUUCAAUUUCCAAACGAAGAUGGCUUACAGACACGUGAACGUGGGCUCUUUGAAAGAGAGUUAAGUUUUUUUUAGAGCACUGAUUGUCUUUUUGGCCACUCAGAUCAAGACAGCUUGCCUUGGAGUUCCCACUGUGGCAUAAGGGGAUUGGCAGUGUCUCUGAUAUGCCAGAUGCAGGUUCCAUCCCUGGCCUGGCACAGUGGGUUUAAAGAAUCGAUUGUUACUGAAUGCAUAGGUUAGCUGCAGCAUAGGUUACAACUGUCACUUGGAUCUGAUCCCUAGCCCAGAAACUCCAUAUGCCAUGGGGCCGCCAAAGAAGGAAGGAGGGACAAAAAAAAGACAGCUUGCCUUCUGAGAUGGGGAGGCAAUCUCUGACUUUCUCUUCGUUGGAUAAUUCACAAGAUUUUUUUUUUUUUUUGUCUUUUUGCCAUUUUUAGGGCUGCUCCUGUGGCAUAUGGAGGUUCCUAGGCUAGGGGUCUAAUCGGAGCUGUAGCCACUAGCCUACGCCAGAGCCACAGCAAUGCAGGAUCCGAGCCGUGUCUGCAACCUACACCACAGUUCACGGCAAUGCCGGAUCCUUAACCCACUGAGCAAGGCCAGGGAUCGAACCCGAAACCUCAUGGUUCUUAGUCGGAUUUGUUAACCACUGAGCCACGACGGCAACUCCGAUAAUUCAUAAGAUUCUUAAGGCCCAGUUUCAGGGUUGGCUCCACGUGGGGACACUUUUCUGUCUUCCAUCACAACAACUGACUAAUCAUCACUGUCCUAAAGGAAAGCCACACAAGUCCACCUAGAGCAAGAGAGAAGUUUCUUUCUUUUUCUCUCUCUCUUUCUUUCUUUCUUUUUCUUUUUUCUUUUUUUGUCUUUUUAGGGUCACCCCCGUGGCAUAUGGAAGUUCCCAGGCCAGGGGUCAAAUCAGAGCUGCAGCUGCCAGCCUACACCCCAGCCACAGCAACACGGCAUCCGAGCCACAUCCGUGACCUACACCACAGCUCAC